ACUCAAAGGAAUUGACGGGGACCCGCACAAGCGGUGGAGCGUGUGGUUUAAUUCGAGGCUACGCGAAGAACCUUACCCAGGCUUGACAUCCUUGUCGCCAUUCUAAGAAAUUAGAAUUUCAUUUAGUUGGACAAGUGACAGGUGAUGCAUGGCCGUCGUCAGCUCGUGUCGUGAGAUGUCAGGUUAAGUCCUUCAACGAGCGCAACCCUCGUGAGCAGUUGUAUAUGUCUGCUCAGACUGCCCUGGUAACAGGGAGGAAGGAGGGGAUGAUGCCAGGUCAGCAUGUCCCUUACGCCUGGGGCUACACACACGCUACAAUGGCCGGUACAAUGGGCUGCCAAGUCGCAAGACGGAGCUAACCCCAUCAAAACCGGUCCAAGUUCGGAUUGUAGGCUGCAACUCGCCUGCAUGAAGCUGGAAUCGCUAGUAACCGUAGGUCAGCACACUACGGUGAAUACGUUCCCGGGUCUUGCACACACCGCCCGU
rnacentral:rRNA from 1 species